rnacentral:tRNA from 1 species
GAGUGGGAACGCGCCUGGUGGUGGGUGGACUUCAAAGCAGU